rnacentral:rRNA from 1 species
AAUGAACGCUGGCGGCAGGCCUAAACAUGCAAGUCGAACGCUGUAGCAAUACAGAGUGGCGCACGGGUGAGUAACAUGUGGGAAUAUGCCUAUUGGUACGGAACAACGUUUGGAAACGAACGCUAAUACCGUAUGGUCCCUUCGGGGUAAAGAUUUAUCGCCAAUAGAUUAGCCCGCACUAGAUUAGUUAGUUGGUGAGGUAAGAGCUCACCAAGGCGACGAUCUAUAGCUGGUCUGAGAGGACGAUCAGCCACACUGGGACUGAGACACGGCCCAGACUCCUACGGGAGGCAGCAGUUAGGAAUAUUGGACAAUGGGCGCAAGCCUGAUCCAGCCAUGCCGCGUGAGUGAUGAAGGCCUCGG